UACGAAGGGGCUAGCGUUGCUCGGAAUCACUGGGCGUAAAGCGCACGUAGGCGGAUUGUUAAGUCAGGGGUGAAAUCCUGGAGCUCAACUCCAGAACUGCCUUUGAUACUGGCGAUCUCGAGUCCGGGAGAGGUGAGUGGAACUGCGAGUGUAGAGGUGAAAUUCGUAGAUAUUCGCAAGAACACCAGUGGCGAAGGCGGCUCACUGGCCCGGUACUGACGCUGAGGUGCGAAAGCGUGGGGAGCAAAGCAGGG
rnacentral:rRNA from 1 species